rnacentral:rRNA from 1 species
GUUAAGCGACUAAGCGUACACGGUGGAUGCCCUGGCAGUCAGAGGCGAUGAAGGACGUGCUAAUCUGCGAUAAGCGUCGGUAAGGUGAUAUGAACCGUUAUAACCGGCGAUUUCCGAAUGGGGAAACCCAGUGUGAUUCGUCACACUAUCAUUAACUGAAUCCAUAGGUUAAUGAGGCGAACCGGGGGAACUGAAACAUCUAAGUACCCCGAGGAAAAGAAAUCAACCGAGAUUCCCCCAGUAGCGGCGAGCGAACGGGGAGCAGCCCAGAGCCUGAAUCAGUGUGUGUGUUAGUGGAAGCGUCUGGAAAGGCGUGCGAUACAGGGUGACAGCCCCGUACACAAAAAUGCACAUACUGUGAGCUCGAUGAGUAGGGCGGGACACGUGGUAUCCUGUCUGAAUAUGGGGGGACCAUCCUCCAAGGCUAAAUACUCCUGACUGACCGAUAGUGAACCAGUACCGUGAGGGAAAGGCGAAAAGAACCCCGGCGAGGGGAGUGAAAAAGAACCUGAAACCGUGUACGUACAAGCAGUGGGAGCACGCUUAGGCGUGUGACUGCGUACCUUUUGUAUAAUGGGUCAGCGACUUAUAUUCUGUAGCAAGGUUAACCGAAUAGGGGAGCCGAAGGGAAACCGAGUCUUAACUGGGCGUUAAGUUGCAGGGUAUAGACCCGAAACCCGGUGAUCUAGCCAUGGGCAGGUUGAAGGUUGGGUAACACUAACUGGAGGACCGAACCGACUAAUGUUGAAAAAUUAGCGGAUGACUUGUGGCUGGGGGUGAAAGGCCAAUCAAACCGGGAGAUAGCUGGUUCUCCCCGAAAGCUAUUUAGGUAGCGCCUCGUGAAUUCAUCUCCGGGGGUAGAGCACUGUUUCGGCAAGGGGGUCAUCCCGACUUACCAACCCGAUGCAAACUGCGAAUACCGGAGAAUGUUAUCACGGGAGACACACGGCGGGUGCUAACGUCCGUCGUGAAGAGGGAAACAACCCAGACCGCCAGCUAAGGUCCCAAAGUCAUGGUUAAGUGGGAAACGAUGUGGGAAGGCCCAGACAGCCAGGAUGUUGGCUUAGAAGCAGCCAUCAUUUAAAGAAAGCGUAAUAGCUCACUGGUCGAGUCGGCCUGCGCGGAAGAUGUAACGGGGCUAAACCAUGCACCGAAGCUGCGGCAGCGACGCUUAUGCGUUGUUGGGUAGGGGAGCGUUCUGUAAGCCUGUGAAGGUGUGCUGUGAGGUAUGCUGGAGGUAUCAGAAGUGCGAAUGCUGACAUAAGUAACGAUAAAGCGGGUGAAAAGCCCGCUCGCCGGAAGACCAAGGGUUCCUGUCCAACGUUAAUCGGGGCAGGGUGAGUCGACCCCUAAGGCGAGGCCGAAAGGCGUAGUCGAUGGGAAACAGGUUAAUAUUCCUGUACUUGGUGUUACUGCGAAGGGGGGACGGAGAAGGCUAUGUUGGCCGGGCGACGGUUGUCCCGGUUUAAGCGUGUAGGCUGGUUUUCCAGGCAAAUCCGGAAAAUCAAGGCCGAGGCGUGAUGACGAGGCACUACGGUGCUGAAGCAACAAAUGCCCUGCUUCCAGGAAAAGCCUCUAAGCAUCAGGUAACAUCAAAUCGUACCCCAAACCGACACAGGUGGUCAGGUAGAGAAUACCAAGGCGCUUGAGAGAACUCGGGUGAAGGAACUAGGCAAAAUGGUGCCGUAACUUCGGGAGAAGGCACGCUGAUACGUAGGUGAAGCGACUUGCUCGUGGAGCUGAAAUCAGUCGAAGAUACCAGCUGGCUGCAACUGUUUAUUAAAAACACAGCACUGUGCAAACACGAAAGUGGACGUAUACGGUGUGACGCCUGCCCGGUGCCGGAAGGUUAAUUGAUGGGGUUAGCGCAAGCGAAGCUCUUGAUCGAAGCCCCGGUAAACGGCGGCCGUAACUAUAACGGUCCUAAGGUAGCGAAAUUCCUUGUCGGGUAAGUUCCGACCUGCACGAAUGGCGUAAUGAUGGCCAGGCUGUCUCCACCCGAGACUCAGUGAAAUUGAACUCGCUGUGAAGAUGCAGUGUACCCGCGGCAAGACGGAAAGACCCCGUGAACCUUUACUAUAGCUUGACACUGAACAUUGAGCCUUGAUGUGUAGGAUAGGUGGGAGGCUUUGAAGUGUGGACGCCAGUCUGCAUGGAGCCGACCUUGAAAUACCACCCUUUAAUGUUUGAUGUUCUAACGUGGACCCGUAAUCCGGGUUGCGGACAGUGUCUGGUGGGUAGUUUGACUGGGGCGGUCUCCUCCUAAAGAGUAACGGAGGAGCACGAAGGUUGGCUAAUCCUGGUCGGACAUCAGGAGGUUAGUGCAAUGGCAUAAGCCAGCUUGACUGCGAGCGUGACGGCGCGAGCAGGUGCGAAAGCAGGUCAUAGUGAUCCGGUGGUUCUGAAUGGAAGGGCCAUCGCUCAACGGAUAAAAGGUACUCCGGGGAUAACAGGCUGAUACCGCCCAAGAGUUCAUAUCGACGGCGGUGUUUGGCACCUCGAUGUCGGCUCAUCACAUCCUGGGGCUGAAGUAGGUCCCAAGGGUAUGGCUGUUCGCCAUUUAAAGUGGUACGCGAGCUGGGUUUAGAACGUCGUGAGACAGUUCGGUCCCUAUCUGCCGUGGGCGCUGGAGAACUGAGGGGGGCUGCUCCUAGUACGAGAGGACCGGAGUGGACGCAUCACUGGUGUUCGGGUUGUCAUGCCAAUGGCACUGCCCGGUAGCUAAAUGCGGAAGAGAUAAGUGCUGAAAGCAUCUAAGCACGAAACUUGCCCCGAGAUGA